rnacentral:sRNA from 1 species
CCUUUGGAGGCUUCCCUGAGUUUGGGGAACUGAAUUCAUUUGUGUGCCCGAGCACGUGUGGGAAGCGGGCGUGCACCGAGAACAACGAGUGCUGCCACCCCGAGUGCCUGGGCAGCUGCAGCGCGCCUGACAACGACACGGCCUGUGUAGCUUGCCGCCACUACUACUAUGCCGGUGUCUGUGUGCCUGCCUGCCCGCCCAACACCUACAGGUUUGAGGGCUGGCGCUGUGUGGACCGUGACUUCUGCGCCAACAUCCUCAGCGCCGAGAGCAGCGACUCCGAGGGGUUUGUGAUCCACGACGGCGAGUGCAUGCAGGAGUGCCCCUCGGGCUUCAUCCGCAACGGCAGCCAGAGCAUGUACUGCAUCCCUUGUGAAGGUCCUUGCCCGAAGGUCUGUGAGGAAGAAAAGAAAACAAAGACCAUUGAUUCUGUUACUUCUGCUCAGAUGCUCCAAGGAUGCACCAUCUUCAAGGGCAAUUUGCUCAUUAACAUCCGACGGGGGAAUAACAUUGCUUCAGAGCUGGAGAACUUCAUGGGGCUCAUCGAGGUGGUGACGGGCUACGUGAAGAUCCG